ensembl:misc_RNA 7SK 7SK RNA
GGAUAGGGUGGAUGAAGAGAUAACCCCACUAUUCACCAGCAUUGAUUCGGCUGAUCUGGCUGGCCAGGCAGGUGUCCACUUCUUCCCUCCCCGAUCCAUGUACAUCCCUCCCAAAGCUGCGUGCUUGGUCAAAGAGGAUAACCUUCCUGGAAGAGACACAAACUGGUCUUUGGCCGAAGGUAUAUGAGUAGCAGUGCUCCCCCCACUAGAACCUCUAAACAAACUCUCAAGAAGGUGAAAUGCUGGGCCAGGUGGUGGCGCACCUGGUUAAGAGCACGUUACAAUGUGCAAGGACCUG